rfam:Callithrix jacchus chromosome 4, whole genome shotgun sequence
UCUUUGGAAGAAACUCUGAAGUAGAGGUGACAAGAUUCUUUGUUUAAAACAUUAAAAACAAAACAAAACAAACUAUUAAGCAAGAAGUGUUCUGGCAACAAACUAAGCGCAGCAUUAUUUCUUAAGGAACACAAACGUUCAACUUGCAACAAAUUUGUACUUUCUCCCUGAAUUAUGUGGUUUUUAAAGAAAAAGAUUGGAAGAGGCUGAUAAAAUAUCAUCAAAACUGAAACUAG